UUACUCUGGUUUCUCUGCAUCACGCAUAAAUCUUUCGCCUUUUACUAAAGAUUUCCGUGCAGAGGAACACUCAUUGAGUUUAAACUCAAUUUUUCUCAGCCCUUGAGGAAAUCAAGGGU
rnacentral:snRNA from 1 species